rnacentral:lncRNA from 1 species
AUUUCCAGCCACCUCUGUAAAGGUCUGUGCAUCAAGGCACAGGCCUCCUCCCAACUGCACCUCUUGCUCAACUCUGCUGUUCUUCCCCUUGAACAGAAAACUGCUCCACCAUGAAUGUCACCUCUGCUGGAUCAAAGGGCAAGAAAACGAGGGAAGGGAGAUGGAGAGAGGGGGACCGUCCCUGAGCCUGGCAGGAAAGGGGAUGCAGAGCCCCUGGCAAGACAAGGGUGACCUGGGGAUGCUGGUGCAGCUUUUACCAGUUUGCCUGGCAUGGACUUCAGAGGGGACUGCAGCUCCUGUGUUUGGAGACAGGAUAGAGACUUGGGUCCUGACUUGGUACAGUUGCUCACAUGUUCUUAUUAGCUAUUCUGAGUUAUCUUGAAGUAAAUGAUAUUUCUCAUUAAACUUCAACCAUAUUUUGAGACAGUUUCAGAAUUAAAACAUGUAAUCUGUACAUAAAAAGGUUCAUUAAGGACCUAAGGUGACUGGAAAAGUCAUGAAAAUACGAGUAUCAUCUGAGUCCUGAGUCUGUCCUGUUCUUCCACAGAGACAUUUGCUAUGAAGACUUUUAUGUCAAAUGCAAAAGCUGCAUAUUUGUAUUCAAGGAGUGAUAAAGGUUUGCAUGUUAUACAUAUCUGUAGGAACAUAAAACCAACACAUUCUGAUAACUUGGGUUAUAGCUGAGGUCUGGGAGCACAGCAUGAGAAAAGAAAUGGGAAUAGAUCUCAAUGAGGCAGUACCCGGAGCAGUUUAAAACAGGUAAAAUAGAUCUACAGCAAUAUAUCUGACUAGUUAUCCUCUGCAUUACACCCAUGGAAGUUAACUGCAAGUUACUUACCCUCUAGGGUCCUUUCAUAUUGCUAAAGUGAUGGGAAAAGGCCUCUGUGUUCCUGCAAACCAGGCUAUAAGUGAACAGCAAUGGAGAGACCUCCAUCAAACUGGAAUAAGUUUCAGUUCAUUCAGUCUAAAGGGAGAGCGUAGAGUUUAAUUAACCUAAUAGCUGUCAAGAGCUCAGAGAGCUGCAAGCUAAUGGUGCUGGCUGCAUAACUGCAGAGCACAGUACUGCACAGUACAAGGAAGCCCUGCCCCACUGAAGACUGGCAUAGAGCAAAAAGACCUGUGCAAGAAAUUCCCCUACCCUCCUG